rnacentral:rRNA from 1 species
UACGGAGGGUGCGAGCGUUGUUCGGAAUUACUGGGCGUAAAGCGCGUGCAGGCGGCCGACUAAGUCAGGUGUGAAAGCCCGGGGCUCACCUCCGGAAGUGCGCUUGAAACUGGUCGGCUAGAGUACGGGAGAGGGAAGCGGAAUUCCUGGUGUAGCGGUGAAAUGCGUAGAUAUCAGGAGGAACACCGGCGGCGAAGGCGGCUUCCUGGACCGAUACUGACGCUGAGACGCGAAAGCGUGGGGAGCAAACAGGAUUAGAUACCCUGGUAGUCCACGCUGUAAACGAUGGGUACUAGGUGUCGCGGGUGUUGACCCCUGCGGUGCCGCAGCUAACGCAUUAAGUACCCCGCCUGGGGAUUACGGUCGCAAGAUUAAA